GGAUUCAAGGGAGCCGUCAAAGGUUCUUUCAGCUGCCCUGAGACCUGCUGUCUCAGCGUCGACCUCGCGCGGGCAUGGGAUGAAGAAGCUGCUGCUAGGGGCCAGGAUCCCCAGCUGCGCUCCGGGCCGCCCUGCCUGAAGAAAUGAGUGGUGGCUAAGAGCACAGUGUAUGUGCCCAACUUGCCCUUCUUCCUGAUGAAUAAUGACUUACUGUUGGUAAGUUUUAAUGUUCACACAUUUAUGUAUGGAACCCUCUAUUUGAGAUGCAGUGUAUCUUUUUUUUUUUUUUAACCUGGGAUCAAACUGGCCCUCAUGAUUGUCAGGUGAGCACUUAUGUCACUGAGCUAAAUCCCCAGAUUCAUGCAAUGUAUCUUGCCCCUAUAGUUCUCCCUAAGAAACAUCUGAAUAAAUAAUUAUGCUGUACUUAAAACACAACUAUCAAAGACAUGUUUUGCAAAUAUGAGUAAAUUUUUUUAAAAAUUGAAACUUGUAAUUUCCAAAGAAAUUUAUAGCACGUUUUAGGUGGGGUUAAUAGUACUGUAAAUUGAACCCAUGGCCUUCAUACUUAGGUACAUCUCCAGCAUUCAUUCAUUUAUUUAUUUGAGCAAGGCUUUACCCGUGUAGUUCAGGCUGGUGUGAACUCACUAUGUAGCCCAGGCUGGUCUCCAACUUGUGGCAAUCUUUCUGCCUUAGCCUCCUCUGGGAUUACUAGUUUGAACCAAAACACUUGGCUUGGCUUACUUGGCUUUUGAAAUUGGUAAUAGAGGUGUGGAUGAAAACUGAUAAGAAUGAGCAAAUGCCUUUCUGAACUCUCAGAGUCUGCAUGUAUCUUUUACUUAUAUAUAUGGCAGAAGCUUAACAGUUUAGUAUAUUUUAUUUUCAUUUCAAGAAGGAUUGAUCAAGGUGGGAAAAUUCCAUUCCAACGUAGUCUCUAACCUUUUCACUUUACAGAAAAUAAAAUUUUUCUACUAUACCUGUCUUGCAAAUGGGUAACUGAGAAGAACUGGAAGUAUCUAAAAUCUUUCAAUUGUACCCUAUUAUUCUUCCAUUUGGGGGUAGAUAUAAACUAAAGAAAUGAUGCAUAUGUGAUACACGAAACUUAAUUUGGACAGUUUGAAUUUCAGAGAAUAGAAAGGAAACUUAGUUUCCUUGUACCAAAAUAAAGGUUUAAUUCACUAAAAUCCUAUUAUGUACUGAGUGCUUUUUAAGAUAAUAGAGAUACAUCACAGAAUAAAAAGACCAAAACCUGUAAUAAAGUAUAGCAAGGAAAGAAUGCCAAAUAGGAAAUGUCAAAUCAUAUGUUAGAUCUUAAGGAAAUGUUAUGGUUUCAGUGGGUAAGGAAAGGUAAACCCACUGCAACGCUGCUUUAUUACUGACUAUACAGUUCUGUCUCUCCCUUUUUUCCCCCCUGUGAUACCAGGAAUCAAACUCAUGGCCUCAUGCUUGCCUGGCAGGCCCUGUGCUGCUGAGCUGUAUCUCGGGCCCUACCAUGCAGAUACGCUAUAGACUCAGACUUUCACUUGGAGUGAAAUGAGAAGUCAUUAGAAAGUUCAUAGUGUACUACUGCCAUUCAAUUGUGCAUCAUGACAGCUCUAUACAACUCAUCAUAGAACACAAAAUUUUGUUAUCAUUGGUUGCAUAUUUCAUCACUCUAAAAAUAUUCUAAACCAGGCAUGGUGAUGCAUAUGUAUAAUCCCAGCACUCAGGAUUCUGAGACAGGAGGACUUGCAAGAUACAGGCAACCCUGGGCUGCACAGUGAGUUCAAGACCAGCUUGAACUACAUAGUGACAACCUGCCUCAGACAAAAGAUGCAUAAAUAAAAUAAAUUUAAAAUACUCAAAUACCUAUAGGAAUAUUAUAAACAGGAACUGUUAAGUAUUUAGGUCCUAACAAACUAUAGGAAUAGCCUGGGUUACUUAAGGUGAAAACUUAAAAAGGAAGGCAGGUCCAACUAUAAAGUACCAUCACUUAUUAAUGAUGGACAGAAAAUGAAAA